GGGAAAUUUUUGUGGAUGACAGAUAUGUUCAUCUUGAUGGUGGGGGUGGUUUCACAGGUGUAUACACAUGUCAAAAGUCAUCAAACUG